rnacentral:tRNA from 1 species
AUUGAAAUAUUUAUAUGAAAAGCUUCUAACUUUUUAAAAAGCAUUAACUUGUUUA